CCUGCUUCGGCAGCACAUGCUGCCGAAAUCGAAACGACACAGAGAAGAUUAGCAUGGACCGUGCGCAAGGAUGCCGCGCAAAAAUCGUGCGCGGUUCGUAUUACAC